AGACUUGUAGUGUAAUGGUAGCACAACAGAUUUUGAUUCUGUUAGUUAGGGUUCGAAUCCCUACGAGUCUA
rnacentral:tRNA from 1 species